UUAAUAGAAUACAUUCAUAUCUUAAAAAAACACAUUAUCUCUUAAUAAAAAUACAGUUUGUUGAAAGUGAAGUCAUUGAAAUAAGUGUUUUUUGGGAAUAUAUAAAUAGGAUAUUGGAUUAUUGAGAAUCACCAACUUCUAUCAAGAAUAUAAUAAUGAAACUAGUUCAAAUAGUACACAAUCUACUUGUCAUAGUGCUUCUUGUACUACCAACUGAACAAUAAUCAGGAAUCAUUUACGACCGCAUGGCUUCAGGAGGUUCUGGGCAUUCUUUGGGUUGGAGUUCAAGAAAAGUCAGAGAUACUGAUGAGUACAGGCAUUUGAGUUUGAGGACUCGUCGAGACAAUGUUGCAGUAUUUUAAUCCUGGAGAAUGUAACAAUCGAGGAGUAGGAGUACCGACUGUAAGAGCUUAGAGAUUGACGAACAUCGAACGUAUUAUUUCGACUUCAACCAAAACUAUCACUGGUACAAUCAAAAGCAGCCAAUGUAUUAACAAUUUGAGUUGAUAUCUGUAUAUACCGUCUACUGAGCACAAAAAUUAAAAUUGAACGAAAAUACCUGUUUCCAG